rnacentral:rRNA from 1 species
AACGAACGCUGGCGGCAUGCCUAACACAUGCAAGUCGAACGAGACCUUCGGGUCUAGUGGCGCACGGGUGCGUAACGCGUGGGAACCUGCCCUUAGGUUCGGAAUAACUCCCCGAAAGGGGUGCUAAUACCGGAUAAUGUCUUCGGACCAAAGAUUUAUCGCCUUUGGAUGGGCCCGCGUUGGAUUAGCUAGUUGGUAGGGUAAAAGCCUACCAAGGCGACGAUCCAUAGCUGGUCUGAGAGGAUGAUCAGCCACACUGGGACUGAGACACGGCCCAGACUCCUACGGGUGGCAGCAGUGGGGAAUAUUGGACAAUGGGCGAGAGCCUGAUCCAGCAAUGCCGCGUGAGUGAUGAAGGCCUUAGGGUUGUAAAGCUCUUUUACCCGGGAUGAUAAUGACAGUACCGGGAGAAUAAGCUCCGGCUAACUCCGUG